rnacentral:rRNA from 1 species
CAGGACGAACGCUGGCGGCGUGCUUAACACAUGCAAGUNCGAACGGNAAAGGUCUCNUUCGGAGAUACUCGAGUGGCGAACGGGUGAGUAACACGUGGGUGAUCUGCCCUGCACUUUGGGAUAAGCCUGGGAAACUGGGUCUAAUACCGGAUAGGACCGCGCCAUGCAUGUGGUGUGGUGGAAAGCUAUUUGCGGUGUGGGAUGGGCCCGCGGCCUAUCAGCUUGUUGGUGGGGUGAUGGCCUACCAAGGCGACGACGGGUAGCCGGCCUGAGAGGGUGUCCGGCCACACUGGGACUGAGAUACGGCCCAGACUCCUACGGGAGGCAGCAGUGGGGAAUAUUGCACAAUGGGCGCAAGCCUGAUGCAGCGACGCCGCGUGGGGGAUGACGGCCUUCGGGUUGUAAACCUCUUUCACCAUCGGNCGAAGCCUUCAGCUUUUNGUNUGGGGGUGACGGUAGGUGGAGAAGAAGCACCGGCCAACUACGUGCCAGCCCCG